rnacentral:ncRNA from 1 species
GAGAGCACAGUACGAUGAAAGUUGUAAGCUGUGUUCGGGGGGGAGUUAUUGUCUAUCGUUGGCCUCUAUGGUAGAACCCGUCGGGGAGGCCUGAGAGGCGGUGGAUUACCCUGU